rnacentral:rRNA from 1 species
UACGGUCGCAAGGCUGAAACUUAAAGGAAUUGGCGGGGGAGCACUGCAACCUGAGGAUUGUGCGGUUUAAUUGGAUUCAACGCCGGAAAACUCACCAUAGCCGACGGACAUAUGAAGGCCAGCGUAACGAGCUUGCCGGAUUGUUCGAGAGGUAGUGCAUGGCCGUCGUCAGUUCGUACCGCAAGGCGUUCUGUUAAGUCAGAUAACGAACGAGACCCUCAUCCCUAUUUGCCAAGAUCUGUCCGCAGAUCAAGGGACUAUAGGGAGACCGCUGGCGCGAAGUCAGAGGAAGGCGAGGGCAACGGUAGGUCAGUAUGCUCCGAAUGCUAUGGGCUACACGCGCAAUACAAAGGACGGGACAAUGGGCUGCAACUCCGAGAGGAUAGACGCUAUCCCGAAACCCGUUCGUAGUUCGGAUUGAGGGCUGUAACUCGCCCUCAUGAAGCUGGAUUAGGUAGUAAUCGCGUCUCAAAAAGGCGCGGUGAAUAUGCCCCUGCUCCUUGCACACACCGCCCGUCAAACCAUCUUAGUUGUGGGUGGGUGAGGCUGCCUCUCUGUGUGGUAUUCGAGCCUGCCUUCGACAAGGAGGGUUAAGUCGUAACAAGGUAUCUGUAGGGGAACCUGCAGAUG